rnacentral:rRNA from 1 species
GACGAACGCUGGGGGCGUGCUUAACACAUGCAAGUCGAACGGUAAGGCCCUUCGGGGUACACGAGUGGCGAACGGGUGAGUAACACGUGGGUGAUCUGCCCUGCACUUCGGGAUAAGCCUGGGAAACUGGGUCUAAUACCGGAUAGGACCACUGCAUGCAUGGGGGGUGGUGGAAAGCUUUUGCGGUGUGGGAUGGGCCCGCGGCCUAUCAGCUUGUUGGUGGGAUGAUGGCCUACCAAGGCGACGACGGGUAGCCGGCCUGAGAGGGUGACCGGCCACACUGGGACUGAGAUACGGCCCAGACUCCUACGGGAGGCAGCAGUGGGGAGUAUUGCACAAUGGGCGCAAGCCUGAUGCAGCGACGCCGCGUGAGGGAUGACGGCCUUCGGGUUGUAAACCUCUUUAAGCACCGACGAAGCGCAAGUGACGGUAGGUGCAGAAGAAGGACCGGCCAACUACGUGCCAGCCGCCGCCGUAA